rnacentral:rRNA from 1 species
GACGAACGCUGGCGGCGUGCUUAACACAUGCAAGUCGAACGGAAAGGCCUCUUUCGGGUGGUACUCUAGUGGCGAACGGGUGAGUAACACGUGAGUAACCUGCCCUUGACUCUGGGAUAACUUCUGGAAACUGGGGCUAAUACCGGAUAGGAGCUCCUGCUGCACGGUGGGGGUUGGAAAGUUUCGGCGGUUGGGGAUGGACUCGCGGCUUAUCAGCUUUUUGGGGGGGGGGUGGCUUUCCAAGGGUUUGUCGGGUAGGCGGGCUGAGAGGGUGAACGGCCCCAUUGGGAAUUAGGAACGGGCCAAGCUCCUACGGGAGGGAGCAGUGGGGAAUAUUGCACAAUGGGUGGAAGCCCGAUGCAGCAACGCCGUGGGGGGGAAGACGGCCUUCGGGUUGUAAAACGCUUUCGGUCAUGACGGAGCUUUGUGUGACGGUAGUGGGUAAAGAAGCACCGGCUAACUACGUG